CUUGAUUAGCGAGAAGUAUCAAGGGUUACACCACUUUCUAGAAGAAGACUCUUCUACAAGACUCUUAGAAGACUUAGAAGACUCUUAGAAGACUCUACAACUGUUAGGACCACCAAUGGAAACAAUUCUCAAUUUCAUUUUCGACCAUCCAUUUGUCACGGGGGCUGCUGUGGUAGGCGCUGUCACUGGCCUGUGGUAUGUCAUCUGGGGGAGACGCCCCCCUCCCCCACCAGUUGAACCACCUGUCCAAGAGGACAAUAUUGACCGACAGGUAGAUGUUCGAUUUAGGAUGCCCCCCCUCAGAAGAGUCGGAAAUCGUGUUUGAGCGAAGUUUCAUCUUAUUUGGGUGAAAAUAUGUUGACUUGGCCUAUUUAUGUUCUACAAACAUUUGUGUUUAAAU